UUUAUUUCUCUGGAAAUGAAAAUUACUAUAUUAAAUCAACUUCAAAAUAGAAAUAGUUCAGCAGAAACAUUAGCUUAAUAUACACGGAGCAACUGUUGAAACAAGAAAGACAAAGAUAGGAACCAGAAUAAUCCCAGGAUCUUCUUUAACUUUGAUGUUACUACGUAUAUGUGAUCAUAGGCAAUAGCAUUAUUGGAAGAGUAGAUAAAGCUCUUUAAUUUGAUUACAAGUUAAAACCUAAUAUUCGACAAAACGCAUACACACGUGAACAUACACAAAUACAAUAAUCAUAUUUAUUAUCCUCCUCACUUUUCACAAUUUCAAUUUGAACGGUGAGUUGCGAACCAAACAACCGUAUAAACCGAAGGAAUAGAACUCUAUCUAUCUAUCUAUUUAUCUAUCUAUCUAUCUAUCUAUAUGUCCGUCCAUUCAUCCCUCCCUCCCUCCCUCCGUUAUCUAUACACACCCACAUAUAUACACACAUAAAUACGUAGGUACGUAUAUAAUGUAUAUGAUUCACGCCUGUCCACGUGGACAAUCUUUCAAUUUUGUUUUCCUAACUUAAGUGGGAUUUUUUAUUUUUCUAUUCUACUACUAACUGGAAUUUUCGACUUUCUGAGCCAGCUUCAAGAAAUUACUACUCUGAAAUCUAUUUUAUCCCUUAAACUAUUUCUUAGCAUUGUUGAAAUUAUAUUUUUGGUUUUGAAUACAUCAAUUCAUAAUAUUUAUUAUUUUUAACGCUGUUUUGAACCAGGACCAGAGUUUGACGGUAUUAUAGAUGAGUUUGAGGCAAAAUCAUCCCAAUAUUGAUUUCUGAGUUUCCCUCACUUGUCGAUCUGACAAAAUUUUCGAAACAAAUUCUUGACGAUCCGAGUCAUUUUAGUUUUUGCUCCUGCAAAAAUACAGUUCAUCACAUUUUAUGAUAAGCAUUAUUGAUUAGGGGCUUAGGUAGGAUUACUCAGGUUCAGGGUUUAGAGUUUGGGGUUAGAGUUUAUAGUAUACGCUUCUGGAGUUUAUAAUUUAAAUGCCAAUAAAAUGAUAGGUGGAGUCAUUUUUUUUUCAAACAAACGUCACACGUAUUUCCCGCCUUUAUAACAGGUAUCUUCUGAAUAUAACUUGCUGAAUAAUGUAAUGAAGAUGGUGUAAGGAAAUUAAUCAUUACAUAUAAUUAAUGUGUUUUAUUAGAUACAAGUAAAGGUUAGUGCCGUUUGCUAACUACGACACAAGUAUGUUAAUUAGAAGUGAAAGACACGGAGAAAGAACUAUCUGAGACAAGCGACAUAGAAACCUCCAGAUCGAUGGUUCUCAGCCGGGGUCCAUAUGGUCCUUGGGGUUCCAGAUCAGAUUUUGUUAAAAUUUAUCUGCAAUAAAUGUUAUAAUUUUACAAUACACAAAAUAUUUCAACAGUUUUUAUACGAUUCCUAGUAAUAUUUGAUUAUAAAAAUAUGAUAAAAUUGUUUAAACAUCGAAUGUCUAGGAGGGUCCAUCCGAGUAAAAUCGGAAUCAAAGGGGUCCCUAGGUCAAAAACCGGUUGAGAAACACUGUUCUAGAUGGAGCUUUGCGACUCUCUGGUCCAUUUCUCUAUUGCCUUACUACAGCAAGGUAAGAGACUAUCAUAUGAAGGAAGAGCAACAUGACCUGUAUAGUUCUGCCUAAAGUUGAAUUCACUCAUCUAUUUAUUACUGUUGGUUUGAAAGUUCUAGAAACUUCAACUAAACUGUUUGGUGGGAAAACUCAUAUACUUCCUUUGAAGAUUGCCAUUUCAGCCAUAAGUCUGUCAAUACUGAUUGGUUGGGUCAUACUCACAUAGGCAUUAAUAUAUUUAUGGUGACAUUUUUGCUUUUAUGAGAUUAUAUUAGUUCAAGGUUCUAGAUAAUGAAAAUUUGAGACUUAUGGUUCAAAUUUCAGCUAGAGUCUCAGAAGAUUUUGUUGCUAUUCCUAGUAGUUCACCUAGAGCAUCCACCCAAAUCCUUUUUGUAAAUAAGUUGUAGAUAAUUAUUGUGGAGGAGUGAGGUGAGACAUCAGGAUCAGAAGGGAAGGGAAAGUGACAUCGGGACUGGAAGCAAACGGAAAUGACAUCAUGUCAAGAAGUGAGGCAUUUGGAGAGCCUCUUUCUUCAUCAGGACAUUGAUAUGUGAAGAGAAUUUCGGAGGGAGAGUAGUUUCUGGCCAGAUGUUGGGGUAAUGGACAUGUAUAGGUAUGACCAACGAGUUCUGCUGAUCUUUGUGAAGUGAAGCUGGAUACUCUAUUCUGAUUUUGUCUUGAGCCAUCCAAUCAUGUUGACGCAACAGUUAAUUUUUUUCCUUAUGUGGGAAAUUAAUCACUAGCUCCUAGGAGUCUACUAUUCUCUAUAAGAAACAGCAGUUCUCAACUACUCUAUGUCUUUGGAACAUGCCACUAACCACAUACAACUCGUCUCCAGUAACAAUGUGUCUGACACCAACCAGUCUAUGCUUUGAACUCCACCAAACCCCUGCUUACAUCGUUUCUGUAUGAAUAUCACAUGACCAACAGACCAACAGCUGCUUCUAAACACCACCAAAUAGUUCGUCAACUUUGGCUACAAGAUCAAUCCAGCCUAAUCAAGAAGUUACUCACACAUCUUUGUUGUAACUUAUGUUAUUUUAUUUCAUGCAUGGCAAUCAUUGUAUUUUAUAACGGAGAAUAAAUCAUCUCUUACCAGUUCA